rnacentral:rRNA from 1 species
GCAUGGCCCAUGGAAGAAAAGGUGGCCUCUACCUGUAAGCUAUCGCCUGAAGAGGGGUUUGCGUCUGAUUAGCUGGUUGGAGGGGUAACGGCCCACCAAGGCGACGAUCAGUAGCCGGUCUGAGAGGAUGAACGGCCACACUGGAACUGAGACACGGUCCAGACUCCUACGGGAGGCAGCAGUGGGGAAUCUUCCGCAAUGGGCGAAAGCCUGACGGAGCAACGCCGCGUGAGUGAUGACGGCCUUCGGGUUGUAAAACUCUGUGAUCCGGGAUGAAAAGGCAGAGUGCGAAGAACAAACUGCAUUGACGGUACCGGAAAAGCAAGCCACGGCUAACUACGUGCCAGCAGCCGCGGUAAUACGUAGGUGGCAAGCGCCGUCCGGAAUUAUUGGGCGUAAAGCGCGCGCAGGCGGCUUCCCAAGUCCCUCUUAAAAGUGCGGGGCUUAACCCCGUGAUGGGAAGGAAACUGGGAAGCUGGAGUAUCGGAGAGGAAAGUGGAAUUCCUAGUGUAGCGGUGAAAUGCGUAGAGAUUAGGAAGAACACCGGUGGCGAAGGCGACUUUCUGGACGAAAACUGACGCUGAGGCGCGAAAGCGUGGGGAGCAAACAGGAUUAGAUACCCUGGUAGUCCACGCCGUAAACGAUGGAUACUAGGUGUAGGAGGUAUCGACCCCUCCUGUGCCG